GAGCUACACCGAGCUGGCUUCACUUGAAACUAUGUUAAAGGAGGGCUGUCGCAUUGUGGAAGAACAAACAGAUAAGGCACAGCAGGAACAAUUACUCAGGGAGAUUGUUGAUUGCGA